GGACAGUAUACCUGGCAGAGGUCCUACACACGUUGAGAAAGGAGGAGAGGAUGGAGAGAAGGAGGAUGAGGUCCUACACACGUUGAGAAAGGAGGAGAGGAUGGAGAGAAGGAGGAUGAGGUCCUACACACGUUGAGAAAGGAGGAGAGGAUGGAGAGAAGGAGGAUGAGGUCCUACACACGUUGAGAAAGGAGGAGAGGAUGGAGAGAAGGAGGAUGAGGUCCUACACACGUUGAGAAAGGAGGAGAGGAUGGAGAGAAGGAGGAUGAGGUCCUACACACGUUGAGAAAGGAGGAGACGAUGAGGUCCUACACACGUUGAGAAAGGAGGAGACGAUGAGGUCCUACACACGUUGAGAAAGGAGGAGAGGAUGAGGUCCCACACACGUUGAGAAAGGAGGAGAGGAUGGAGAGAAAGAGGAAGAGUGAAAUAGGAGACACCCCAGAGAGCACUGAUGAAAGAGAGAAAAGGAGGAAGAUGAGGGGAGUACAGGGAGAGAACUAAUCAUUUUAAGACUGGAUUCAAUCCGAUCACAGGUAGAUCCGCGUUGUAGCAAGCUUCACAUUUAAAUGUCAUUUCCUAUUGAGCUGACGUAUGCAGUGUUUACCGUGAAUUGGGUCUCCGCGAAGGCGGGAAAGUUGCCUUUAAAAUUUGCAUAGCUGACAAAAGCGCGAUCAAAUUUAAUCCUCUCGCCCUUCUUAGAUAUGGCUGAGGAUUGGACCACAGGGGAUUGGUGUCACCUUAAUUGGGGAGGACGGGGCUGGUGGUAAUGGCUGGAGCGGGAAAUGGUAUGAAAUACCUCAAACGUGUGGUUUCCAUGGUUCCCAUGGUUUCCAUGGUUUCCAGGUGUUUGAUGCCAUUCCAUUCGCUCCGUUCCGGUCGUUAUUAUGAGCCCGUCCUCCCCUCAGCAGCCUCCAUUUGGUUUGGACACGUGCUUUUCUACAAUGGACAAAUUCGAUUGGUCAACGGAAGUUGAAAGAGCACAGUGAAUCUGAAUGUCCCAUUUUUAAUCUCGAAACCCAGAACCAAGUCUUGCGCGUGUGGUUGUCCAGCUACUUGGAGAACUGUCUUGUUUAUUGAAUGGGUUAUUGAGUGGUCUCCUCGUGAAUCAGUGUUACUCAGAACAGGAGACGUGGGAUGUAUCCCCAUUGGCACUCUAUUCCCUAUAUAGUGCACUACUUUGGACCAAGGUGACUAUAUUCCUUUUUAUAGAGAUCAUGGUGCCAUUUGGGAUGCAGAUGUGAUCUUCAGUCACAGCAGGAGUGAGGUGGAGGUACAUGUCACUUUCAGGACCCGGCCUACCAAAAAAACAAUUAAUGCAUUGAUCUAUCUGUGAUUCUAGCAAGACACUCUGUGAGCUUAGCUUUCAUAAGGAAACAGAUGGGACUGGGAAUGAUUCUAGCAUAGAUAUAGACAUAGAAUGGGUGGUAGAACUUAUCUUGCUCUUAAAUCGAGAACAGACACAGCACUUCAAAGCCUCAGACAGAAGCAUAGUCCAGUGUCUUUAAAUGGGAAUUUCAGUUCUAUGGUUUUGUAUUUCUGUAAAUAUAUUAAAGCUACAGUACAGUAGUAUUACUUGA